rnacentral:rRNA from 1 species
CCUACGGGGUGCAGCAGUGGGGAAUAUUGGACAAUGGGCGAAAGCCUGAUCCAGCAAUGCCGCGUGUGUGAAGAAGGUCUUCGGAUUGUAAAGCACUUUCGACGGGGACGAUGAUGACGGUACCCGUAGAAGAAGCCCCGGCUAACUUCGUGCCAGCAGCCGCGGUAAUACGAAGGGGGCUAGCGUUGCUCGGAAUGACUGGGCGUAAAGGGCGCGUAGGCGGUUUAUGCAGUCAGAUGUGAAAUCCCCGGGCUUAACCUGGGAACUGCAUUUGAGACGCAUAGACUAGAGGUCGAGAGGGUUGUGGAAUUCCCAGUGUAGAGGUGAAAUUCGUAGAUAUUGGGAAGAACACCGGUGGCGAAGGCGGCAACCUGGCUCGAUACUGACGCUGAGGCGCGAAAGCGUGGUGAGCAAACAGGAUUAGAUACCCUCGUAGUC